rnacentral:ncRNA from 1 species
GGCCAAGUUUUUAAGGGCGCACGGUGGAUGCCUUGGCACCAGGAACCGAUGAAGGACGUGGGAGGCCACGAUAGUCCCCGGGGAGUCGUCAACCAGGCUUUGAUCCGGGGGUUUCCGAAUGGGGAAACCCGGCAGUCGUCAUGGGCUGUCACCCAUACCUGAACACAUAGGGUAUGUGGAGGGAACGCGGGGAAGUGAAACAUCUCAGUACCCGCAGGAAGAGAAAACAACCGUGAUUCCGGGAGUAGUGGCGAGCGAAACUGGAUGAGGCCAAACCAUAUGCGUGUGAGACCCGGCAGGGGUUGCGUAUGUGGGGUUGUGGGAUUUCUCUUUCACGGUCUGCCGGCCGUGAGACGAGUCAGAAACCGUUGAUGUAGGCGAAGGACAUGCGAAAGGUCCGGCGUAGAGGGUAAGACCCCCGUAGUCGAAACGUCAACGGCUCGUUUGAGAAACACCCAAGUAGCACGGGGCCCGAGAAAUCCCGUGUGAAUCUGGCGGGACCACCCGCUAAGCCUAAAUAUUCCCUGGUGACCGAUAGCGGAUAGUACCGUGAGGGAAUGGUGAAAAGUACCGCGGGAGCGGAGUGAAAUAGUACCUGAAACCGUGUGCCUACAAGCCGUGGGAGCGUCG